rnacentral:misc_RNA from 1 species
AGAAGAGGACAUCGAAAUUGCUAAUAAGCUCAUUUCCCCAAGGUGAUCACAUCGAAAUUUCAAACUCUAUAAACCCUAAUUUUUACAAUCAGCGGUUCACAACCUUCAUGCACCAGCCACUGAUCUCAAUCUACGACCAUAGUUCCAUUCGCUAUAUUGAAUUUCUUAGCAACCAAAACGUACUAUAAAUUUUUGAAUUCAAAUUAAAAAGCAAAAAUCAAUAAAUGAAAAGGUAGGAAUAGGCGAUAGAGGAAUAGAAACUAAGGUUUUUU